AGAUUACGUGCCGCGAUCAGUCUUACGCCGAGCGUGAAUCGGAUCGGUUACUUGAGCAAAGAAGCCAGCAAGCAAAGCAAAGUUUGGUUAGCUAGUUGAUGAAACCCUUAAGGAGCGAGUUUCAACCGCACAACAGUUUCACCGAGUAAAGUCUACGUGCGCUCUGUCCACAAACUUCGCUGUGUAUAGCUCACUAACUCUAGUUCCAUUUAAACCCACGCAAAGAACUAAGCAUCCUCAGAGAGAAGGAAAAGGCGCUGAGCAUCAUGAAUAAGUGACGGUUUGGCGCGUGAUGAAAACAAUGCGAAAUUUUAUUCUGCUUUACUGCACCUGCCCGACCCUGGACCUCUAUGGUUGGCCAGCAGAAUACAUUGACCCUGGUUGUUUCGACCUCAUUAUUUCCACCUAAACGCCUUCAUUGCAGCGAUGGACAACAUUGAUGAUUAAUUUCAAAAUUAAGGAGGAUGUCUGGCCGAUAUAGUCAUAAGCGUCUUUAGUAUUUUUAAAGUCUGUGUACUUUUCUUUAUUUUUUUCAUUCUUUGUUUUGUUUCUUUGUUUAUCAUAUUCUUUUUUUUCUUUGGUUUUUCUUGUAGUUUCAUAUUUUUCUCCUUAGGCUUUUGAACAAUUUUUCAUUAGAUUAAAGCAUCAUAAAUUCAGCUUAAUUACUUAUUUUCAUUUAACAGGAGAUCAAGCAUUAUAAUAAAAUAUUUCUCACAUUUUUAAAGAAAGAGGUCAACUUAAUCUAAGAAGCAUUAAAUAAUUUCAUGUUGCCAAAAUUUGCAUUACUUUUUUAAAAUAUUUGUGUUAACUAAAUUCUUCUCGCAGAAUUACUUUUGAUUGAAUUUACUUAAAUAUUAUGAUCAAUAUUUUAAUUCCUUGAUAAAUGAAUUGGCUUA